AGGAUAAACGCUGGCGGCGUGCCUAACACAUGCAAGUCGAACGUCUCUUCUUUCGGGAAGAGGAGUGGCGGACGGGUGAGGAACACGUGGGAACCUGCCCUUCAGUGAGGAAUACCGGCGAGAAAUCGCCGACAAGACCGCAUAGCCCUCUCUGGUGAGAGCCAGAGAAGGAAAGCCUCGCAAGAGGCGCUGGAGGAGGGGCCUGCGUCCGAUUAGCUAGUUGGUGGGGUAAGAGCCUACCAAGGCGUCGAUCGGUAGCUGGUCUGAGAGGACGAUCAGCCACACUGGGAUUGAGAACGGCCCAGACUCCUACGGGGGGCAGCAGUGAGGAAUUUUCGGCAAUGGGGGAAACCCUGACCGAGCAACGCCGCGUGCAGGAAGACGGCCUUCGGGUUGUAAACUGCUUUCUUUGGGACGAGCAAGGACGGUACCAGAGGAAUCAGCCCGGCUCACUACGUGCCAGCAGCCGC
rnacentral:rRNA from 1 species